GCUUCCUACGGGAGGCAGCAGUAGGGAAUCUUCCGCAAUGGGCGAAAGCCUGACGGAGCAACGCCGCGUGAGUGAUGAAGGCCUUCGGGUUGUAAAACUCUGUCUUCUGUGAAGAACCAUCCUGUGCAGAGAAAGCUCAGGACCUGACGGUAACAGAGGAGGAAGCCCCGGCUAACUACGUGCCAGCAGCCGCGGUAAUACGUAGGGGGCAAGCGUUGUCCGGAAUCACUGGGCGUAAAGCGCGCGCAGGCGGUCUUUCACGUCCGGGGUGAAAGCCCAGAGCUCAACUCUGGGAUUGCCUUGGAUACGGGGAGACUUGAGGAUCGGAGAGGCAAGGGGAAUUCCACGUGUAGCGGUGAAAUGCGUAGAGAUGUGGAGGAACACCUGUGGCGAAGGCGCCUUGCUGGCCGAUUUCUGACGCUGAGGCGCGAAAGCGUGGGGAAGC
rnacentral:rRNA from 1 species